GAGGCUGCGCUGCUACCAUGCAGUCGAACGAGAACUCGAUCUUCGGAACGAGGGAAAGUGGCGAACGGGUGAGUAACACGUUGGUGACCUGCCCCGAAGAGGGGGAUAACUCUGGGAAACCAGAGCUAAUACCCCGGAUGUUUAAGGGUUUAGAGGCCUUAGACUAAAGCUUCGGCGCUUCGGGAGGGGCCUGCGGGCUAUCAGCUAGUUGGUGGGGUAAAAGCCUACCAAGGCGAAGACGGCUAGGGGGCGUGAGAGCGUGACCCCCCACAAGGGAACUGAGAAACGGUCCCUACUCCUACGGGAGGCAGCAGUGAGGAAUAUUGAGCAAUGGGCGCAAGCCUGACUCAGCAACGCCGCGUGGAUGAAGAAGGCCUUCGGGUUGUAAAAUCCUUUUCUGGGGGAAGAUAAUGACGGUACCCCAGGAAUAAGUUCCGGCUAACUACGUGCCAGCAGCCGCGGUAAAACGUAGGGGACGAGCGUUAUCCGGAUUUACUGGGCGUAAAGCGCAUGUAGGUGGCUUGAAAAGUUGGACGUGAAAGCUCCCGGCUUAACUGGGAGAGGUCGUUCAAAACUGGCAAGCUUGAGGUUGGAAGAGGAGAGCGGAAUUCCCGGUGUAGUGGUGGAAUGCGUAGAUAUCGGGAGGAACACCAGUGGCGAAAGCGGCUCUCUGGUUCAAUACUGACACUGAGAUGCGAAAGCGUGGGGAGCGAACGGGAUUAGAUACCCCGGUAGUCCACGCUGUAAACGAUGGAUACUAGGUGUAGGCGGUCGUUAACCCCGUCUGUGCCGAAGCCAACGCGUUAAGUAUCCCGCCUGGGGACUACGGCCGCAAGGUUAAAACUCAAAGGAAUUGACGGGGGCCCGCACAAGCAGCGGAGCGUGUGGUUUAAUUCGAUGAUACGCGAAGAACCUUACCUGGGUUUGACAUAGAGGUAGUAGCGAGGUGAAAGCCGAGCGACCCUUCGGGGAGCCUCUACAGGUGCUGCAUGGCUGUCGCCAGCUCGUGUCGUGAGAUGUUGGGUUAAGUCCCGCAACGAGCGCAACCCUCGUCGUUAGUUACAAGUGUCUAACGAGAACUGCUGGUUUCAAACCGGGAGGAAGGUGGGGGAUGACGUCAAGUCCACCAUGGGUCUUUAUUAUCCAGGGGCUUACCACA
rnacentral:rRNA from 1 species